AAGAUGUUGAAGGCAGAAAGGCAACAAAAGUUUGCUCGAAUAUUUGCUUAACGAUGGACAUGGAACAUGAAGCUAUAUCACUGAGAAAAGUUUGCAGGGUCCAAGCACAGUGUUCAAGAGUCCACUAUAGUCGGAAAUGUAGAUGAUGUUAACUUAACAGAGGCACAUGAGAAGGGCGUCUGCUACGGAAUUCUUUAUCCAACAGAGUCCGAGCUCAGAUAUACUUGCACAUGCACUAUAUUCAAGUGUCAGAUGAACCACCGACCUGAACUGUACUUGGAUUAGCGUUGCUGGCUGGCGUACCAUUGGGCGCGGUUUAGAAUGCUGGAAGAAGCAUGAAUGUUUGAGGGGAAAAAAGAACAUGCUAAAGAACAAGAUUGCUGAAAUCAGGGAAAAAACAUGCUAAAGAACAAGCAUAGCUUGUUUGGAUUACGAGGUAGAGUGAGAAGUGGAAGGGGUACCAGUCCGUCUCCAAUUUGCCACCAGGUAACGCUUCUAACCAUCCUGAGCACAAGCAUCCAACGGCUACUGUGAGCAUCAUCUGCAUUGGACAUUGAAUCACGCACAAGUCCACAACAGCGGGCAGCGGUGCCACCUUCAGUGCCCAGCGGGCAUCACCUCAAGAAUGACUAGUUCCAAUAAUCAGUUCG